CCUACGGGUGGCAGCAGUGGGGAAUAUUGGACAAUGGGGGCAACCCUGAUCCAGCCAUGCCGCGUGUGUGAAGAAGGCCCUCGGGUUGUAAAGCACUUUCAGUGAGGAAGAACGCCUGGUGGUUAAUACCCAUCAGGAAAGACAUCACUCACAGAAGAAGCACCGGCUAACUCCGUGCCAGCAGCCGCGGUAAUACGGAGGGUGCGAGCGUUAAUCGGAAUUACUGGGCGUAAAGCGCGCGUAGGUGGCUUGAUAAGCCGGUUGUGAAAGCCCCGGGCUCAACCUGGGAACGGCAUCCGGAACUGUCAAGCUAGAGUGCAGGAGAGGAAGGUAGAAUUCCCGGUGUAGCGGUGAAAUGCGUAGAGAUCGGGAGGAAUACCAGUGGCGAAGGCGGCCUUCUGGACUGACACUGACACUGAGGUGCGUAAGCGUGGGUAGCAAACAGGAUUAGAUACCCCAGUAGUC
rnacentral:rRNA from 1 species